UAUUGCACAAUGGGCGGAAGCCUGAUGCAGCAACGCCGCGUGCGGGAUGACGGCCUUCGGGUUGUAAACCGCUUUCGCCUGUGACGAAGCGUGAGUGACGGUAAUGGGUAAAGAAGCACCGGCUAACUACGUGCCAGCAGCCGCGGUGAUACGUAGGGUGCGAGCGUUGUCCGGAUUUAUUGGGCGUAAAGGGCUCGUAGGUGGUUGAUCGCGUCGGAAGUGUAAUCUUGGGGCUUAACCCUGAGCGUGCUUUCGAUACGGGUUGACUUGAGGAAGGUAGGGGAGAAUGGAAUUCCUGGUGGAGCGGUGGAAUGCGCAGAUAUCAGGAGGAACACCAGUGGCGAAGGCGGUUCUCUGGGCCUUCCUGACGCUGAGAGCGA
rnacentral:rRNA from 1 species